AGAGUUUGAUCCUGGCUCAGGAUGAACGCUGGCGGUCUGCUUAACACAUGCAAGUCGAACGCACCUUUCGGGGUGAGUGGCGGACGGGUGAGUAACGCGUGAGAAUCUGCCUAGAGGUCGGGGACAACCAUUGGAAACGAUGGCUAAUACCGGAUAUGCCUUACGGGGUGAAAGAUUAAUCGCCUUUAGAAGAGCUCGCGUCUGAUUAGCUAGUUGGUAGGGUAAAAGCCUACCAAGGCAUCGAUCAGUAGCUGGUCUGAGAGGAUGACCAGCCACACUGGGACUGAGACACGGCCCAGACUCCUACGGGAGGCAGCAGUGGGGAAUUUUCCGCAAUGGGCGAAAGCCUGACGGAGCAAGACCGCGUGAGGGAGGAAGGCUCUUGGGUCGUAAACCUCUUUUGUCAGGGAAGAACAAAAUGACGGUACCUGACGAAUCAGCAUCGGCUAACUCCGUGCCAGCAGCCGCGGUAAUACGGAGGAUGCAAGCGUUAUCCGGAAUUAUUGGGCGUAAAGCGUCCGCAGGUGGCUGAUCAAGUCUGCGGUCAAAGACCGGGGCUUAACCCUGGAAAGGCCGUGGAAACUGAUCAAGCUAGAGUACCGUAGGGGUAGAGGGAAUUCCCGGUGUAGCGGUGAAAUGCGUAGAGAUCGGGAAGAACAUCGGUGGCGAAAGCGCUCUACUGGACGGUGACUGACACUCAGGGACGAAAGCUAGGGGAGCGAAUGGGAUUAGAUACCCCAGUAGUCC
rnacentral:rRNA from 1 species